rnacentral:rRNA from 1 species
UACGAAGGGGGCUAGCGUUGCUCGGAAUCACUGGGCGUAAAGGGUGCGUAGGCGGGUCUUUAAGUCAGGGGUGAAAUCCUGGAGCUCAACUCCAGAACUGCCUUUGAUACUGAAGAUCUUGAGUUCGGGAGAGGUGAGUGGAACUGCGAGUGUAGAGGUGAAAUUCGUAGAUAUUCGCAAGAACACCAGUGGCGAAGGCGGCUCACUGGCGCGAUACUGACGCUGAGGCACGAAAGCGUGGGGAGCAAACAGG